rnacentral:rRNA from 1 species
CCCUUAGAUGUUCUGGGCGGCCCGCGCACUACAUUGGCACUGGCAACAAGAUCCUAGAUCUGAUAUUUCGGGGUAUUCUACCAACUGGUGUCGUGACUGGGAUUAACCCCUGCAAUUAUUGGUUAUGAACGAGGAAUUCCUUGUAAUCACGGUUUAUCAACCCGUGUUGAAUGCGUCCCUGCCCUUUGUACACACCGCCCGUCGCUCCUACCGAUGAAUCGUCCGGUGAAGUUCAUGGAGUCGCUGCUGCUCCAGCUGUUUUCGAAGUGAAAUGGACCUCAUGAUUUAGAGGAAGGAGAAGUCGUAACA